GGCAAAGAUCCCAGAAGGUCAACACCGCUAAGUAUUCCAGGCAGAAGACACAGCCGAGGAAGAAUGUGUUUUAUGUUUCCCCAGCCAGACAGACUGACAUCAGAGAGACAGACAUACAUACAGAUACCGGACAGACAGACAGACAAACAGACAAUAGACAAAUAGUCAGACAGACGGGUCGAAAGAUGGCCAGCCAGCCAACCAGAAAGACCUUGGCUAAGCAGAGGUCCAUGUCUAAUGAGGACAGAACCAAAUCCCCUAAACAGACUCUACUGAGUGAGAGCUUCUCCAUGCCUGUCUUGCACCCCCCUCUAGCCCCCUCUGGGGUACACCAGUACGUAGAGAACUGGCUGCAGAACAUCGCCCCGGAGUCCAUCCCCUAUGUCCCCUACAUGGAGGAGGGAGGCCAGGACACAGAAGAGAGUGAACCCAGGACCAAGGUAAACAUGGAGGACGAAGGCCAGGACACUGGGGAGGCUGAACCCAGGACCAAGGGAAACAUGGAGGACGAAGGCCAGGACACUGGGGAGGCUGAGCCCAGGACCAAGGUGAUCUUCCAGAUAGGAGCCGACUCAGAGGUUGAGUCAGAAGUGAAGAGUGAUUACCCAGAGGAUCAACAUCUGCCCCAGGGGGGAGACCACCUCUCAUUGGGAGGCAUGUCCAUGUCCUGCCUGUCUGUCCCUGUCAGCUACGCCGAGGCUCAGGUCGACCUCUCUAACCCCCAGAGGACCAGGAAACUGUGCUCCUCUAUGCCCAGUGUCAGGAUCGACCCGGUGGAACAGCAGAGCAGGCUCGGUCUCCUCCACCGCUCAGCGUCCUUUGUCCCUCAUCCUGUAGAGCACAGUGAGUCUUCCUCCUCCACCCACCACCUCCUUAUCCCCAAGGCCACUCUUACACCGAUCUUCCGUCAGCUCUGCUCCUCGAUACAGUGCAUCAGACAGGCCUCCCAGCCUCCUGCCAGCCUGGAGAAAUCACACAGCAUGCCUGACUUCUCCUCUCAGGUGUCAUCGGUGUUCGGCUCGUCAUCCAAGGCGCUGAUGUCCUUCCUGUCGGUGUCCACCCUGAAGGACACCCUGUCGUCAGCCCUGGGAAAAGGAGGAGGAGGAGAGUUUUGUAGAAGGAACUCUAACAGCGGGUCGGAGGCCCUCCUGGUGAUGCAGUCGCUCCAGAAGAUCUCCACCAUGGAGGACGAGGAACAGCAGAGAGCCAGCCUGGCCAGCCUGCAGAGCCGGACCUCUGAUCAGCUGAAGGACAGCUGGAGAGACUUCCAGGAAAGGAGCAGUGAAAUGGGAGACAGGGAAAGUCCUCCUCUGUCUCCGAGCACCAACCAGGAGUUCGCCCUGGAUGUGGAGUCUGAGGCGGGUGACGAGAACGGAGGACGGUUGGGUAUCGAGGAGCUCAUGGAGGAACUUAACAUGCCCCAGGAACUCAGGGAUGAGGUGUCGUCGUUGGUGGAGGGAGAGAGAACAGUGCAAUAUGCCAUGAGGUCUCCAAUGUUAGGGGGCAGCGUCAGUGAUAUGUCUUAUGCUGUUGACACUGAGGUAGACAAAGUAGAGUGUGAUGAGAUUGAGGAACUAGAGGUGUUUGAGGAAGAUGUGAAGAAGAUACCUGAUAACUGGCCUGGGUCUGAAGCUUCUCAACCCAGACCUUCAGCUGAAGAG
ensembl:lncRNA